rnacentral:rRNA from 1 species
UACAGAGGGUGCGAGCGUUGUCCGGAAUCACUGGGCGUAAAGGGCGCGUAGGCGGCGCGGUAAGCGUGCGGUGAAAGCCCGGGGCUCAACCCCGGGUCGGCCGUGCGGACUGCCGGGCUGGAGCACUGUAGAGGCAGGUGGGAAUUCCGGGUGUAGCGGUGGAAUGCGUAGAGAUCCGGAAGAACACCGGUGGCGAAGGCGGCCUGCUGGGCAGUAGCUGACGCUGAAGCGCGACAGCGUGGGGAGCAAACAGG